GUCCCCGUCGAUUAGUGGUUAGAUCAUUACGUUGUGGUAGUGAUCUGGAAAGGCGGUACUGAAUUUGGCAACCGUGAAGACGCAGGCUCGACUCCUGCCAGGGACA